UGAAACCGCCAGCCUGCUGAUUGAUGGGUUCACAUGGGGCGACCUUCGCAUUAGCAACGCGACUCUGGUUGCCUGGUAAACACAGGCAGAUGGAUCCAGCUCCGCUGAUUCUCAGCAGUGACGGAUGGCAAAGAUAUUGGAAUGGUCUCCUUCAGCUUCCUCUGAAGAAGAUAAUCCCACCCCUCUGGUUCUUCCUGCUGCUAAGAGGCCUCAAUAGAACUGCGUUUUCCAGCAGGAAAAAUUCAAUGCCUCUGGCUGGCAGCAGAGCUGUACCUGUAAGCUUCCUUGAAGACAUGAAUUAAAUUGUGAUGGAGGAAAAGCAAGACUAUGGGAGAUGAAGGGGUCUGAGCAGUGGUUUGUGGCACAAAACAGAGUCCAAAUGUUUAAAACUUGUCAGCAUCUGGAGUAACUAAUCCUGUAGGCAACAUUACUGCAGCAACAACAUCAGAAAUAUAAUCUGCAUUCAUACAUAAACUUCAAAAAACAACUUUAGCUCACAUUUGUAUAUACAAAGCUACAAGAAAUCUUCCCAGUUUUGUCCCUUUGAGCUUUGUCACAGACAAAUAUCUGUGUCGAAAGGAGAUGGGUGAGCAUCAAGUCAGCCCAUGGUGACUGUGGUUGACCUGAGGUGACUGUACACUCUGCAGUGGCAAAGUGCAAGAGAAAAGACAUUGAGGCACCUUUCUCAAACCACUUGAGAUGGAUGGAGUCCAUGGAUGGGGUCCAAGAUCUGGGAUGCCUCUGUGUGCAUGAAUCACAGUUUCUCUAUCCCACCUGUUCAUGGUAAGCAAGCACAGACAGUGAAAUUCACAGCCACCUUGUCCAGCAGGGAUGGCAGCAGAGAGGCCGUGUCUCC